rnacentral:tRNA from 1 species
UCUCCGCUGGUGUAGUUGGCAGCACAACGGUUUUUGGUGCCGUUAGUCGAGGUUCGAACCCUCGGUGGAGAGCGA